rnacentral:rRNA from 1 species
GAUGAACGCUGGCGGCGUGCCUAAUACAUGCAAGUAGAACGCUGAAGGAGGAGCUUGCUCUUUCCGGAUGAGUUGCGAACGGGUGAGUAACGCGUAGGUAACCUGCCUGGUAGCGGGGGAUAACUAUUGGAAACGAUAGCUAAUACCGCAUAACAGUAGAUAUUGCAUGAUAUUUGCUUGAAAGGGGCAAUUGCUCCACUACCAGAUGGACCUGCGUUGUAUUAGCUAGUUGGUGAGGUAACGGCUCACCAAGGCGACGAUACAUAGCCGACCUGAGAGGGUGAUCGGCCACACUGGGACUGAGACACGGCUCAGACUCCUACGGGAGGCAGCAGUAGGGAAUCUUCGGCAAUGGACGGAAGUCUGACCGAGCAACGCCGCGUGAGUGAAGAAGGUUUUCGGAUCGUAAAGCUCUGUUGUAAGAGAAGAACGAGUGUGAGAGUGGAAAGUUCACACUGUGACGGUAUCUUACCAGAAAGGGACGGCUAACUACGUG